rnacentral:tRNA from 1 species
GGCUCCAUUGUGUAGCGGUUAGCAAAUCUGCUUUACAUGCAGAAGGUCCUGGGUUCGUGCCCCAGUGGAGCCA